rnacentral:misc_RNA from 1 species
UACCCCAUGGAUUACAAAAAGAGUAAUUACUUACUUUAUGAAAAAAUGUGAAAAAUGUCAAGUAGAGCAUCGUGGCCAAUUUUUAUAGAGCACUAAAUUACGAAAUUCUACAAGAACGCCAAAGAUCUAGAAACGGCAUCGUUAGCCUGUGGCAACUAUCCAUGCUUCACGCUCUUUAAAAUAUAUUAUCUUCAGAAAUAUGAAUCAGAAUGCAUUAAAAUUUUAAAAUCUGUAUUGAAUUGGGUAGAUAUCUCAAAGCUCAAGUUUUUGUCACUUUGCGUUGAUUUUUUACCAUUUUAUCGCAUCUGUGACAUUACUUUUGGAUCAACGCUUGUAUUAAUUGCUUUUUAUAUAUAUAUAUAUAUGAAGCUACAUGUAUGUGUUUUAGCAAUGAUAUCAUUAUAAGUAAUGCAAAAAAGAUGCAAACAAAUUAUACAGUUGCAUAGGUCGGGAAAAGCUUCCAAUUAUCAAGGAGUGUAUAUCCAUUACUUACACUAGUACUAGUACAACACUCUAACAACAUGAACGUCAAAAACAUAGAAGUUUCAUGAAAAAAAAAUAUUUUUGUAUUUUUUCUAAUUCUGUAUUAUAAGAUUUGUAUUUGAUGAUAUAUAAAGAUAUGUUAUAUCAAACGA